AUAGGUCUUGUCCUACUGUCCUUCCCAAGCCGAUUGUUCUGAACCCCAACUCCACAGAGUCUAUUCCUGGUACUAUCCCUCCAACUUUUGGCCAUGAGAAAAAAAUCUUAAGCAUCUCUACCCUCAUUGCCAUUAGUGCAGCUGCUGUUAUUGUUGUUGGUGUUAUUGCCAUUACUGUGCUCAAUCUUCGAUGAGAAAAAAAUCUUAAGCAUCUCUGCGCUCAUUGCCAUUAGUGCAGCUGCUGUUAUUGUUGUUGGUGUUAUUGCCAUUACUGUGCUCAAUCUUCGUGUACGGGCUGCUGCAUCUCGCUCUA
rnacentral:lncRNA from 1 species